UCCGUUUUUUACUGCGAGGAACUGAUGAAAAGGAAGAAUUAAGUGUUCAAUGAGCAACUUCACAUUGAUCACAUAGUAAAUUACAAUAUUAUAUACUUUCACAAGCACAAAAUGCUGUUGAGUUUGGAUAACAAAUAUAUAAUUAGCAGAUUAAACAUUCCAGCUAUAUAGUAGGCCAUUGCCAGAGUAACAUAGAUUGUAUAAAUUGCAUCCUACAGGUGCCAUCUAGUGGUUAGGAACUUGCUACUUACAUAAAAACAAGGACCAGAUUUGUUAAGUUGAAUUAAACAACCAUUUUCAGCAUUCAGGAUACACGCAUCAUAUCUGAAACAAAACUUAUUCAUUUAUUAAUCUUACCUUUCUAAUGGUAAGAAAACACACUAAUUUCAAAAGUAGCCAAGCACACUAGUGUCACAAGUAACCAAACACAAUAAUUUUAUAUGUAAGCAAGCAAUAAUUUUCAAGAUAGAAUAUAGAUAAACAGAUGUGAGAAAAUGUGAUGAUGACCAAAAAAAUUGAUAUUUAAAGGCAUCAAAGUGACAAUUUGACUUUCUCCUCUAUUUUGGAUUUAAUCCUUGCUUUUCUCCAUCUCUUCCUAAUAUUUGAUUUUCUAAUAGGAAAAUAGCGCUAUUUGAGGAAAGUUCAAUAUAGUGUUGUGCCACAUCUCAAUCAUAAGAAUUUUUCUUCCCAGCACAGCCCUUAAACUUUACUUAUUUUGACAUUAAUUUUAAAUUGUCUUAAAUAUCAAUCUACAUGAGCCCUUAAAAAAUUAUUUUAUUACAAUUAAAAACAUAUAGUACAUAAUGAUAACACUAUUAACAUAUAAUUUGUAAAAUACCCACUCAAGUAUUAUUAACCUUCAAACAAGUGCUUCCCGAAUCAGGAAACAAACGUCAAAUUUUCCCAUCACUUAACAAGGAGAAACAUUUUAUUAUCAUUAAUUAUCCGAUCAUUGCCUAUCACUGAACAUGAAAAGAAAUUAAUAUUCUUCCUAAUUUUACAAUCAGUUUCAAAUGUUUCAAGUAAAACAUGCCGACAGAACACCCUGAUAAAUUAUUACAUCAAAAUUUGGAACGUUCUAAGUAGCAAUGAUUGUAUGAUUUUAUCCAUAUGAAAGCUAAAAAAGUAGUAUUGAUGUAAAUAUAUCAACAAGUUCACUGAUUGUAAACAGUGGUACAGGAAAGAACAAUUAC
rnacentral:misc_RNA from 1 species